rnacentral:rRNA from 1 species
ACUCCUACGGGAGGCAGCAGUGGGGAAUAUUGCACAAUGGAGGGAACUCUGAUGCAGCGACGCCGCGUGAGUGAUGAAGGCCUUCGGGUCGUAAAGCUCUGUCCUAUGGGACGAUAAUGACGGUACCAUAGGAGGAAGCCCCGGCUAACUACGUGCCAGCAGCCGCGGUAAU